UCUCUCGUCUCUCUCUCUCUCUCUCUCUCUCUCUCUCUCUCUCUCUCUCUCUCUCUCUCUCUCUCUCUCUCUCUCUCUCUCUCUCUCACAGUUAGAGACAGAGACGUGACCAACACCUACUGAACACACAAACACACACACAGACCCACACACACACACAUCAGACACACAGACACACACACACACACACACACACACACACACACACACACACACACACACACACACACACACACACACACACACACACACACACACACACACACACACACACACACACACACACACACACACACCCACAUCAGACAGAUAGAGAGCCAGGCAGACAGACACACACACCUCUCACACACACAGACACACACACCCACAUCAGACAGAUAGAGAGCCAGGCAGACAGACAUGAGUGUCAUUCCUGUGGUUUCACACUGUUUGACUCAGGGCGAGUCUAACGACAGUCAAACACUACACACUGAACCCUUACCCCUUAACCUUCCACCAUGAUGUCACUUCCAGUCUAACGACAGUCUAACACUACACACUGAACCCUUACCCCUUAACCUUCCACCAUGAUGUCACUUCCAGUCUAACGACAGUCUAACACUACACACUGAACCCUUACCCCUUAACCUUCCACCAUGAUGUCACUUCCAGUCUAACGACAGUCUAACACUACAUACUGAACCCUUACCCCUUAACCUUCCACCAUGUUCCAGUCUAGCAGUAUCAGAACCACACUAUACUGGUAUACUGUAGUCUGGGGAACAGGAUGACGUGUGUCAGAACCAGAGGUUCCUCAGAGUUAGACCUGUGGACGGGUUUGUCCCUCAGAGUUAGGCCUGUGGACGGGUUUGUCCCUCAGAGUUAGGCCUGUGGACGGGUUUGUCCCUCAGAGUUAGACCUGUGGACGGGUUUGUCCCUCAGAGUUAGGCCUGUGGACGGGUUUGUCCCUCAGUU
rnacentral:lncRNA from 1 species